UGCAGAUGGAGUCCCGGCCCCCGGCGAGGUGACCUCUGGCUCUCACUGCCUCAAAACGGGGCUGGGGCUCUGCCUCGUUUGGUUCUUCUGACCACAUGAGCUAAGCUGCACAGCACAGGGCUGGCGUCUGGGGGCCCCACAGGGGGCGCCGGGGAGCGCUGAGGGAGAAAUCUAGCUGGGAAUCCCUGCAGCAAGUGGCGGUCACUUGUCAGGCGCCGACCGUGGCCAGACCUGACCCUAUGUGCUGGAGACACACGCGAAACCCGGGACGGUCUCUGCUCUUAUGAGGAAAGACCGCUGGCGACCGGACCUGGGCCACUGUCUCUAUUCCACAGCGAGACCCCUGCUGGCCUGCAGAGCACAUUUCAAAUUAGACCCCUCUACCCUUACUGCUUUAGAAUCCUUUAUAAAAGUGUCAUUCUGGGGGGCACCCGGCUGUCUGACUCUUGAUUUUGGCUCAGGUCAUGAUCCCAGUGCCAUGGGAUUGAGCUUCUCGUCCGGCUCUGUGCUGAACACAGAGCCUGCUUAUGAUUCUCUCUCCCCCUCUGCCCAUCUCCCCAGCUUGUGCUCUCAAAAAAAAAAAAAAAAAAAAAAAGAGAAAAAGGUGCAAUUCUCGCAGUUUGGUGACUGCCUUAAAUGGAGACAAAUGGCAUGCAAUAUUUAUUUGAUAUUAGCCGAACUGGGAGAAAUUAUCAGUCAGUCAGGCAGAGCCCGACACGGGGCUUGAUCCCAGGACCCUGAGCUGGAAUCAUGUCCGUUUCUAAGUACUAUGUACUUUGCCUUACCAGGGACUUCCCGAUAAAGUCCCUCGGAGCUUAUACUUUUCACCACUACAAGAUCUCAUUCGUUAAUUGU